AUUGAACGCUGGCGGCAUGCCUUACACAUGCAAGUCGAACGGCAGCACGGGAGCAAUCCUGGUGGCGAGUGGCGAACGGGUGAGUAAUAUAUCGGAACGUGCCCGGUCGUGGGGGAUAACGUAGCGAAAGCUACGCUAAUACCGCAUACGAUCUGUGGAUGAAAGCGGGGGAUCGCAAGACCUCGCGCGAUUGGAGCGGCCGAUAUCAGAUUAGGUAGUUAGUGAGGUAAAGGCUCACCAAGCCGACGAUCUGUAGCUGGUCUGAGAGGACGACCAGCCACACUGGGACUGAGACACGGCCCAGACUCCUACGGGAGGCAGCAGUGGGGAAUUUUGGACAAUGGGCGCAAGCCUGAUCCAGCAAUGCCGCGUGCAGGAUGAAGGCCUUCGGGUUGUAAACUGCUUUGUACGGAACGAAACGGUGAGCUCUAAUACAGUUUGCUAAUGACGGUACCGUAAGAAUAAGCACCGGCUAACUACGUG
rnacentral:rRNA from 1 species